rnacentral:rRNA from 1 species
AGGGAAUAUUGGACAAUGGGCGCAAGCCUGAUCCAGCCAUGCCGCGUGAGUGAAGAAGGCCUUCGGGUUGUAAAGCUCUUUUGUCCGGAAAGAAAAACCUUGGGUUAAUACCCUGAGGUUCUGACGGUACCGGAAGAAUAAGCACCGGCUAACUUCGUGCCAGCAGCCGCGGUAAUACGAAGGGUGCAAGCGUUACUCGGAAUUACUGGGCGUAAAGCGUGCGUAGGUGGUUUGUUAAGUCUGAUGUGAAAGCCCUGGGCUCAACCUGGGAAUUGCAUUGGAUACUGGCAGGCUAGAGUGCGGUAGAGGGUAGUGGAAUUCCCGGUGUAGCAGUGAAAUGCGUAGAGAUCGGGAGGAACAUCUGUGGCGAAGGCGACUACCUGGACCAGCACUGACACUGAGGCACGAAAGCGUGGGGAGCAAAC